rnacentral:rRNA from 1 species
AGGAAUAUUGGUCAAUGGGCGAGAGCCUGAACCAGCCAAGUAGCGUGAAGGAUGAAGGUCCUACGGAUUGUAAACUUCUUUUAUACGGGAAUAAAGUUUCCUACGUGUAGGAUUUUGUAUGUACCGUAUGAAUAAGCAUCGGCUAACUCCGUGCCAGCAGCCGCGGUAAUACGGAGGAUGCGAGCGUUAUCCGGAUUUAUUGGGUUUAAAGGGAGCGCAGACGGGAGAUUAAGUCAGUUGUGAAAGUUUGCGGCUCAACCGUAAAAUUGCAGUUGAUACUGGUUUCCUUGAGUGCAGUUGAGGCAGGCGGAAUUCGUGGUGUAGCGGUGAAAUGCUUAGAUAUCACGAAGAACCCCGAUUGCGAAGGCAGCUUGCUAAACUGUAACUGACGUUCAUGCUCGAAAGUGUGGGUAUCAAACAGGAUUAGAUACCCUGGUAGUCCACACGGUAAACGAUGGAUACUCGCUGUUGGCGAUAUACUGUCAGCGGCCAAGCGAAAGCAUUAAGUAUCCCACCUGGGGAGUACGCCGGCAACGGUGAAACUCAAAGGAAUUGACGGGGGCCCGCACAAGCGGAGGAACAUGUGGUUUAAUUCGAUGAUACGCGAGGAACCUUACCCGGGCUUAAAUUGCAGACGAAUUACGAGGAAACUUGUAAGCCGCAAGGCGUCUGUGAAGGUGCUGCAUGGUUGUCGUCAGCUCGUGCCGUGAGGUGUCGGCUUAAGUGCCAUAACGAGCGCAACCCUCGUGGUCAGUUACUAACAGGUUAAGCUGAGGACUCUGGCCAGACUGCCAUCGUAAGAUGUGAGGAAGGUGGGGAUGACGUCAAAUCAGCACGGCCCUUACGUCCGGGGCUACACACGUGUUACAAUGGGAGGUACAGAAGGCAGCUACCCGGCGACAGGAUGCCAAUCCCGAAAGCCGCUCUCAGUUCGGACUGGAGUCUGCAACCCGACUCCACGAAGCUGGAUUCGCUAGUAAUCGCGCAUCAGCCGCGGCGCGGUGAAUACGUUCCCG